AAAGCUCCCCCUUCCGUCCCCUCUUCUCCCCUAGAACCCAGACGAUGGUGGCGCCCCUUACGCACGGCGAGCAGCGCGAGCUGCACACAGCCUGAAGUGCUCAUCUCGGAUGGUGCUAGUCGAUCUCAUGGCUGGUGCCCGAGGGCGCUCGUCCCAUGGUGGCCAAGGCAGCAGCCAGCACGGGCGGCAGCUCGGCGUGCGCGGAGGUGGCGACAUCGUUUCGGAUCCAGCCAUGGCCGGCAGCAACGGAAGCUGAGGCAGAAUGGAUCCGGCCGUCAGCGUCACGGAUCCGGCCGACACCGGCACCAUGGAUCCGGCCGUCAGCGUCACGGAUCCGGCCGUCAGCGUCGCAUCCAGCGCGGCCCGUCCGUGGCAUCUCCCUCAAGCCGCAGGAGGAGGAGCACGAGCGCCGCACCAUGGCCUCGACGGAGAAGUUGGCGCUCGAGGUCGAGGAGAUUUGCAGUGGUUGCUACGUCGGCUCGCUUCAACGAUGGCCACAGUAAUAGUGUUGUGGCCGCAUUCAUCAACGGUCGAGGCCAUGGCAGAGCCUUGCUGGUGCUGGAUCUGAUCGGGAUGCAGCCGGCGAAAGGUACUGUGAUAUGCAAUGGAGCUACUCCAUAAAGUGGUAUAGAACUGACAAGAACUUGUUGGAAUCUGGGUCUAAACUUCAGAGAGGAAAAACUGAAGCAGCUGGACUGAAGCAAUUGGGUACUUGCUUAUCACUAGAAUGGCAUUAUGCCCUUACACAUGUGCUGCUGCUGCAGGUUUAGAUUUGAGACUUGAGACUCUACAUGUAUAAUGAAUUGGUGGAUUGAUGUAAUGAUAUUGUAUUUACUAUGGAGAUGUUAAUUCAUUUGGAUCUGAUGUUUUAUAUGUUGAAAAUUUAUAUGGAUGCAAUUAUAUCGGCUGAA